GAGUUUGAUCGUGGCUCAGGAUGAACGCUAGCGGCAGGCCUAACACAUGCAAGUCGAGGGGUAGAGGAAGCUUGCUUCCUUGAGACCGGCGCACGGGUGCGUAACGCGUAUGCAAUCUACCUUGUACAGAGGGAUAGCCCAGAGAAAUUUGGAUUAAUACCUCAUAGUGUUAUCGGAUGGCAUCAUUUGAUAACUAAAGUUCCAACGGUACAAGAUGAGCAUGCGUCCCAUUAGCUAGUUGGUGUGGUAACGGCAUACCAAGGCAAUGAUGGGUAGGGGUCCUGAGAGGGAGAUCCCCCACACUGGUACUGAGACACGGACCAGACUCCUACGGGAGGCAGCAGUGAGGAAUAUUGGUCAAUGGACGCAAGUCUGAACCAGCCAUGCCGCGUGCAGGAUGACGGUCCUAUGGAUUGUAAACUGCUUUUUAUACAGGAAGAAACACCCCCUUCGUGAAGGGACUUGACGGUACUGUAGGAAUAAGG
rnacentral:rRNA from 1 species